AUUGAACGCUGGCGGCAGGCCUAACACAUGCAAGUCGAGCGGAUGAAGGGAGCUUGCUCCUGGAUUCAGCGGCGGACGGGUGAGUAAUGCCUAGGAAUCUGCCUGGUAGUGGGGGAUAACGUCCGGAAACGGGCGCUAAUACCGCAUACGUCCUGAGGGAGAAAGAGGGGGAUCUUCGGACCUCACGCUAUCAGAUGAGCCUAGGUCGGAUUAGCUAGUUGGUGGGGUAAAGGCCUACCAAGGCGACGAUCCGUAACUGGUCUGAGAGGAUGAUCAGUCACACUGGAACUGAGACACGGUCCAGACUCCUGCGGGAGGCAGCAGUGGGGAAUAUUGGACAAUGGGCGAAAGCCUGCUCCAGCCAUGCCGAGUGUGUGAAGAAGGUCUUCGGAUUGUAAAGCACUUUAAGUUGGGAGGAAGGGCAGUAAGUUAAUACCUUGCUGUUUUGACGUUACCAACAGAAUAAGCACCGGCUAACUUCGUG
rnacentral:rRNA from 1 species